CAGCAGCCACGGUAAAACGGAGGGGGCUAGCGUUGUUCGGAAUUACUGGGCGUAAAGCGCACGUAGGCGGCUUGGUAAGUUAGGGGUGAAAGCCUGGAGCUCAACUCCAGAAUUGCCUUUAAGACUGCCGAGCUAGCAGGUGAGAGAGGUAAGUGGAAUUCCGAGUGUAGAGGUGAAAUUCGUAGAUAUUCGGAAGAACACCAGUGGCGAAGGCGGCUUACUGGCUCAUACUGGACGCUGAGGUGCGAAAGCGUGGGGAGCAAACAGGAUUAGAUACCCCAGUAGUCCCUGUCUCUUAUAC
rnacentral:rRNA from 1 species